CCUACGGGAGGCUGCAGUAGGGAAUAUUGCUCAAUGGGGGAAACCCUGAAGCAGCAACGCCGCGUGGAGGAUGAAGGUUUUCGGAUUGUUAACUCCUUUUGUUAGAGAAGAUAAUGACGGUAUCUAACGAAUAAGCACCGGCUAACUCCGUGCCAGCAGCCGCGGUAAUACGGAGGGUGCAAGCGUUACUCGGAAUCACUGGGCGUAAAGAGCGCGUAGGCGGGAUAGCAAGUCAGAUGUGAAAUCCUAUGGCUUAACCAUAGAACUGCAUUUGAAACUGUUAUUCUAGAGUAUGGGAGAGGUAGGUGGAAUGCUUGGUGUAGGGGUAAAAUCCGUAGAGAUCAAGAGGAAUACUCAUUGCGAAGGCGACCUGCUAGAACAUGACUGACGCUGAUGCGCGAAAGCGUGGGGAGCAAACAGGAUUAGAUACCCUUGUAGUC
rnacentral:rRNA from 1 species